UACGGAGGGUGCAAGCGUUAUCCGGAUUUACUGGGUUUAAAGGGUGCGUAGGUGGGUUUGUAAGUCAGUGGUGAAAGCCCGGAGCUCAACUCCGGAACUGCCAUUGAUACUGCAGAUCUUGAGUACACUUGAGGUGGGCGGAAUACAUCAUGUAGUGGUGAAAUACUUAGAUAUGAUGUAGAACACCGAUUGCGAAGGCAGCUCACUAAAUUGUAACUGACACUGAGGCACGAAAGCGUGGGGAUCAAACAGG
rnacentral:rRNA from 1 species